rnacentral:tRNA from 1 species
GGCUCGGUGGUGUAGUUGGUUAUCACGUCAGUCUAACACCUCGUUAGAUCACUGAAGGUCCCGUGUUCGAGCCACGGCCAAGUCA